AAUGAACGUCGGCGGCGUGGAUUAGGCAUGCAAGUCGAACGAAUCCCAUUUGGGUAACUGGAUGGGGGAAGUGGCGAAAGGGGCAGUAAUGCAUGGAUAACCUACCCUGGAGUUGGGCAUAGCCAUUCUAACGAAUGGGUAAUUCCCGAUGGCCCAGCGAGGAGACAUCUCUUUGCUGGUAAAGAGUUUCGCUCCGGGAGGGGUCCAUGUGCUAUUAGCUAGUUGGUGGGGUAACGGCCCACCAAGGCUAAGAUGGCUAGCGGGUGUGAGAGCACGACCCGCGCCACUGGCACUGAGACACUGGCCAGACACCUACGGGUGGCUGCAGUCGAGGAUCUUCGUCAAUGGUCGAAAGACUGAACGAGCGACGCCGCGUGCGCGAUGAAGGCCUUCGGGUUGUAAAGCGCGAAAGAUGGGACGAAAGCCGAAAGGUUUGACCGAUCAUCAGUAAGCUCGGGCUAAGUUCGUG
rnacentral:rRNA from 1 species